rnacentral:rRNA from 1 species
GAUGAACGCUGACAGAAUGCUUAACACAUGCAAGUCGAUGGGGAAGUGGUGCUUGCACCAUGGCAACCAUGGCGGACGGGUGAGUAACGCGUAAGGGACUUACCUGCAGGACUGGGAUAACAGGGGGAAACUCCUGACAAGACCGGAUAAUGUCAUGGAGCUGCAUGGCUUUAUGAUGAAAGGAGACGCCUGCGGAGAGCCUUGCGUCCUAUUAGCUAGUUGGUGAGGUAAUGGCUCACCAAGGCGAAGAUAGGUAGCCGGCCUGAGAGGGUGGACGGCCACAAGGGGACUGAGAUACGGCCCUUACUCCUACGGGAGGCAGCAGUGGGGAAUAUUGGAUAAUGGGGGCAACCAUGAUCCAGCAAUUCUGUGUGCACGAAGAAGGUUUUCGGAUUGUAAAGUGCUUUCAGCAGGGAAGAAGUAAGUGACGGUACCUGCAGAAGAAGCGACGGCUAAAUACGUG